GUCGUUAGACAGCGAGGCGGGGUGAGGAUUUCGAGAGCUGGACAAUUAGUAUUUGGGCCUACUUGAGCAGGCAAUAGCCCGACGCUAUCAUCCGUUAGGUUAUGGCUGAACGACUCCAAGUCAGAACUCGUGCUAGAAUGCGAC
rnacentral:ncRNA from 1 species